GGUGGGGCAGCAGAGGGGACCCGUGUCCUGUGGCGUCUCCGCCGCUGCUGCUUCGAGGUGGGCAGGAGGAAAGUGAUGGCCUGUGAAUGAAUAUUUGACAAAGUGUUUCUUUCCGAGGGGUAAAAGAGCGGCCCUGCUUAAAGUCUGAGUAUUUCCAUACCGGAGCAUAUCCCGAGGCAAGCUAUGGAAGAGAGACAAGUGUAAGGACGUGAAUUCAUCAUAAGGGGUUAAUUGGGUAAGCAAGGUGCACGACCGAGAGCUUUAGUGUUGUUCUGCCCAAGGCUGCUGAUAUUGAACAUUACCAGGUGAAUUU